rnacentral:rRNA from 1 species
AUGGCCGCCGUGAUUGCAAAGCUCGUUCUGCCGGUGAUCGUGAUGGUCAUGGUGUUCUCGGCAGUGCUCGGCGCGGCGCGGCCGCUGGCAGGAGAGAAAUGGGGCGCCGGAGACUCCAUCGUCGGAUUCAUCCGGCAGGUGUAUCUUCAGCAGCUGCAAGGGGCGCCAGGGGCAACUCCCUCGUGCUCGACCUGGGACCCAAAUAACAAGUGCCCCUGA